rnacentral:lncRNA from 1 species
AAGCUUUCUAAGUACUCAGACGCUAGAUAAUGAGACCAACAGGAGAACUGAACUGACACUUGUUAUACUUCUUUUAUUUCAGUCCUUCAAGGAAAAAGGCCACUUACAUCAUUAAAGGAUGUUCCUGACUAGUCUCACUCUGGACCAAAGGCCCAAGUGCAGCUAUCAGACAAAAAGCGAAACACAGGAGCACUCCACUCAGAUCUGCUCCUCACCCUGUGUCCUCUCAUCCUCGCCGUGA